UACGUAGGGUGCUAGCGUUGUCCGGAAUCAUUGGGCGUAAAGCGCGUGUAGGCGGUUCGGUAAGUCCGCUGUGAAAGUCGGGGGCUCAACCCUCGGAAGCCGGUGGAUACUGUCGGGCUAGAGUACGGAAGAGGCGAGUGGAAUUCCUGGUGUAGCGGUGAAAUGCGCAGAUAUCAGGAGGAACACCAAUUGCGAAGGCAGCUCGCUGGGACGUUACUGACGCUGAGACGCGAAAGCGUGGGGAGCAAACAGG
rnacentral:rRNA from 1 species